rnacentral:tRNA from 1 species
CAAGUUGAAGUUUUUGGUUAACUUUAUUAUUUACAUUAAUAUAAAUCUGUUCGAAUCAGGCAACUUGA